rnacentral:rRNA from 1 species
AUGAUGGAGAAAUACAAAGUGCGAUUGUUUCUAAAAAAAGUGAAUGGACAGAAAAUGCUGUUCGCCCUUAGUUACAACUGGGUAAAAUUGCUUGCAUUCUUAAUUUUCUCUCACAAAAAAGCAAAUGCAUAUUUAGAAGAUCAAAAUGAAUUUUUUGCAAAUACCAUUAGUUGCCCAAUAUAUCAUUGGUGUUCGUUUUGUCACAACAUGGUUAGGAAUGCUUCUCUCUGGGCAUAUGAUUGCGGUUGUGUACUUGGUUGCCACAUUCGAGAUUUCACCUUGACCUUGGUGCCUGCUGCAUUCGAGGGGUCACCUUGGUGCAGGAAAGAGUUGAACUUUGUGUUUAGUAAUCGCACAAGAAAGUAA